rnacentral:lncRNA from 1 species
AGCCACCUCCUUAUUAUUCUCCGACACCUCCAAACACUCCUUACGUUCCAAUUACUCCUCCAAAAGCACCUUAUCAUCCAAAUCCACCUUAUGUUCCAACCCCUCCAAACACUCCUUAUGUUCCAAUUACUCCUCCGAGAGCACCUUAUGUUCCAGCACCUCCUCAAACUCCAACUGUUCCAACUCCUCCAGAAACUCCUUAUCAUCCACCCUAUGUUCCAAUACCUCCUCCUAAAACACCUUCACCUAUUUCCAGUCCUCCCUAUGUUCAUCCAAAACCACCUUCACCUAUUCAUUAUCCACCUAAUGUUCCAACACCUCCAAAAACUCCUUCCCCUGUAUACACUCCUCCCAAUGUUCCCACUCAAGCACCUUCACCUGCUAAUCAUCCUCCAUAUAUUCCAACUCCUCCACAAACUCCUUCCCCAGUUUAUACUCCUCCUAAUUUUCCAACGCCUCCAAAAAUACCCUCUCCUGUGUACACUCCCCCAAAAGCUCCUUCCCCUAGUAACAAUCCACCCUAUGUUCCUACACCUCCAAAAACACCUUCUCCUUCUUAUAAUCCUCCUAAUGUUCCCACUCCUCCCAAAACACCUUCACCUAUUUACACUCCACCAAAUGUUCCUACUCCUCCAAAAACACCAUCUCCUGCUUAUAGUCCUCCAAAUGCUCCUUCCCCUCAUAACCAACCAAAUGUUCCUACUCCUCCAAAAACACCAUCUCCUGCUUAUAGUCCUCCAAAUGCUCCUUCCCCUCAUAACCAACCUCCCUAUGUUCCUACACCUCCAAAAACACCUUCUCCUUCUUAUAAUCCUCCUAAUGUUCCCACUCCUCCCAAAACACCUUCACCUAUUUACACUCCACCAAAUGUUCCUACUCCUCCAAAAACACCAUCUCCUGCUUAUAGUCCUCCAAAUGCUCCUUCCCCUCAUAACCAACCUCCCUAUGUUCCUACACCUCCAAAAACACCUUCUCCUUCUUAUAAUCCUCCUAAUGUUNNN